rnacentral:rRNA from 1 species
AACGAACGCUGGCGGCAUGCCUAACACAUGCAAGUCGAACGAAGCCUUCGGGCUUAGUGGCGCACGGGUGCGUAACACGUGGGAAUCUGCCCUUCGGUUCGGAAUAACAGUUAGAAAUGACUGCUAAUACCGGAUGAUGACGUAAGUCCAAAGAUUUAUCGCCGAAGGAUGAGCCCGCGUAGGAUUAGGUAGUUGGUAGGGUAAUGGCCUACCAAGCCGACGAUCCUUAGCUGGUCUGAGAGGAUGAUCAGCCACACUGGGACUGAGACACGGCCCAGACUCCUACGGGAGGCAGCAGUGGGGAAUAUUGGACAAUGGGCGAAAGCCUGAUCCAGCAAUGCCGCGUGAGUGAUGAAGGCCUUAGGGUUGUAAAGCUCUUUUACCAGGGAUGAUAAUGACAGUGCCUGGAGAAUAAGCUCCGGCUAACUCCGUGCCAGCAGCCGCGGUAAU